AACGCUGGCGGCGUGCUUAAUACAUGCAAGUCGAGCGAGCUUGCCUAGAUGAAUUUGGUGCUUGCACCAAAUGAAACUAGAUACAAGCGAGCGGCGGACGGGUGAGUAACACGUGGGUAACCUGCCCAAGAGACUGGGAUAACACCUGGAAACAGAUGCUAAUACCGGAUAACAACACUAGACGCAUGUCUAGAGUUUAAAAGAUGGUUCUGCUAUCACUCUUGGAUGGACCUGCGGUGCAUUAGCUAGUUGGUAAGGUAACGGCUUACCGAGGCAAUGAUGCAUAGCCGAGUUGAGAGACUGAUCGGCCACAUUGGGACUGAGACACGGCCCAAACUCCUACGGGAGGCAGCAGUAGGGAAUCUUCCACAAUGGACGCAAGUCUGAUGGAGCAACGCCGCGUGAGUGAAGAAGGGUUUCGGCUCGUAAAGCUCUGUUGGUAGUGAAGAAAGAUAGAGGUAGUAACUGGCCUUUAUUUGACGGUAAUUACUUAGAAAGUCACGGCUAACUACGUGCCAGCAGCCGCGGUAAUACGUAGGUGGCAAGCGUUGUCCGGAUUUAUUGGGCGUAAAGCGAGUGCAGGCGGUUCAAUAAGUCUGAUGUGAAAGCCUUCGGCUCAACCGGAGAAUUGCAUCAGAAACUGUUGAACUUGAGUGCAGAAGAG
rnacentral:rRNA from 1 species